GGAUGCCCAGGAUUCGACUGUUAGGCUCUUUGGCUUAAGGCCACGGGACCUCCAGACAGGCCCUCAGCGUGCAAGCAGGUACCAGAGGCCGAGAAGCAGGGAGAAGCUUCAACCCAUCCAGCAACGAUGCAGACUAAAAUGGGGACAUAGAGGUAACCCAUACCAAAUGACAACUGAAGAAAGUUCAGCUGCGGGUGUACAAAGGUCCGUAAGGAGGACGUCAGAAUCAGUUUUUCCAGCAUCAUGGACCUGACGAGGCAGACGUGGCUGACCGACUGUUUUUGCAAUAUUACGGCAGUCUCCCCACCAAUGUCUGUUUAUCAUUGGAAUGGCCUUAAGUGCCCUAUGGCAGGUGAAGGAAUGUAGAAACCAAACAAUGGGGUUUGCCAGGGAGUCAGGAAGAACCAAGCAGCCCUCUGGGUUUUCCCCGUAGCGGGGACUGUUCAUUUAAUUUACAGCCACUAUUCGUCCACCUUCAUUUCUCUGAUUCGGGGUAGGGGUGGUGGUGGCAAAAGUCUGGCAAUCAGGGGCCAGUUUCGCAGAAGCAAGAUGGGCAUUAUCCACUUGUGCACAAAUCGUAUAGAUUCAGCCGCUGCCGCCUUGAUGAAAAUCAGCCUGAUCACAUAUUAAAAUUUCUUUCCAAAGAUUCCUUUUCCACAAGCCUUACAACUUCCUUUCUGACAUUCAGAUUUUGUCCUACAUUUUUCCUUUUU